rnacentral:rRNA from 1 species
GGGGAAUAUGGGGUCAGUAGAGAGGGUAAUACGAAGCGUGGGAUCGUUAAUCGUAUUUAUUGGGGUGGAAGGUGGCGUAGGCGGCCUGAUAAGUCAGUGGUGAAAUCCUAUAGCGUAACGAUAGACUGGCCAUUGAUACUGUAGGGCUUGAGUAUAGAUGCCGUUGGCGGAAUGUGUCAUGUAGCGGUGAAAUGCAUAGAUAUGACACAGAACACCGAUUGCGAAGGCAGCUGACGAAACUAUAACUGACGCUGAUGCACGAAAGCGUGGGGAUCAAACAGGAUUAGAUACCCAGUAGUC